ACACUGCAAAAAAUCAGCCUUUAAAAACAAGAAAAGAAAUCAUCUGUUGAGGAUAUUGCCAUUUGUUUUGGAGAGUUUUGAAGUCAAAUGCUCUUACCCGGUAGGAAGAAAUAUCUUGUCAAA